rnacentral:tRNA from 1 species
GAGAAAAAAGCAUAAGUAUGCAAUUAAUUUGAAAUUAAUGGAUGGUGGUCUUAAUCUACCUUUUCUCG